UUGGCGGUUAAAUUAUUUGUUUUUUUUUUCUGCCAUGUCACAAACCAUAGAUGAUGACUUCGACGAACGUUUAGUAGAUUGUUUAGUGAUAAGGUGGCCAAAGACAACGCAUGGAAAAACAUCUCGGAGAUUUUGAGGCAUUCAGAGGAAGACUGCAAAAAACGAUGGAGAAAUAUCCGAGAUGCCUAUAAAAGAAAUAAAAAACGGGCAAUAACUGGUUCUGCGGCAACCAAAUCGAAGUAUGGCGAUAAUGACCGCCUUAAGUUUCUGGACGCCUCUUUAGCUGAAAGGGAAUUCACUGUUCAGUUGAACAAAAUGAGCAAGAAGAAUCGACGCAACAAUCUAACAGAACUGAUGAAAAUGAAGCAGGUAGUUCAUCUAGUGUGCAGCACAUUGGUGCAUCUAAAGAAGGUAUGGUUGACAAUGAAAUCUUAAGCGAUGUAUUUCCGAAUUCCGGAAUCUGACAAUGAGGCAAGCAAUGAUAAGACAUUAAAAUCACAACAAAGUUAUGGCGAAUGUACCACUUCCGACGAAAAUACAAUAAAGAAGCCAGAACGGCGCACUAAACGAAAAUUUGAAUGAUAAAAAUAAACGAAGAAAAACUCAUCUUGCACCAGAUGCAACUCAGAUUUGGAACCAAAUUCAAAAAAAGCAAACAGAACGAUUCGAAGUGAUUCAAAGUUUGCUACAAAACUCAAAUAAAAGUAAAAAUGUUGAGAACGAACGGCAUCCUAUUUAUAAGUUUAUUGAAAGUUUGGCAGAAACUGUAGUACAGUUCCCUCCGGAUUUAAUUGCUAAUACGAGAGCUAGGGUUGCUCAAGUUGUUACAAAUUUCGAAUUAGAAAGCAUUGCAAGGUUUUCACAACCGAUAAUGCCUCUAGAACGUCAAUUCCUACCUUCUACUGUGCUCACACUUGAUAACAUGUUGAGAAGUAACUCUGCCUUAUCUUCAAGUGAAGAUUCAUCUCAUUCAGCAAUAACCAGCCCUCAUGAUUCGGUUAUUAAGCCACCUGAAUAUAGUAAUGCUUUAGUGAAACCUUGUGAAAACUCUCGUGAACACUACUAUGAGGAGUCUCAAAAUAUCGAUGGUAUGAUUCAGGCAGCAUUUAAAUUACUUAAUUAAAUUAUGUGGAUUUGUUUCAUAUUUCUGUUUAGCGUUACCUACUUUUUAUUUUGAGUUUAUUU